rnacentral:tRNA from 1 species
GCCUGGGUGGCUGAGUCAGUUAAAGCGUCUGUCUUCCGCUCAGGUCAUGAUCUCACGGUUCAUGGGUUCAAGCCCCCCAUCAGGCU